UUUUUUAUUUUCAAUUCUUUUUCUAGCUUCUCUCAGGUAGAAUCUGAAGUCAUUGAUUGAAGACUUUUCAUCUUGUUCUUUGUUGGUGGUGAGUGCUAGACAUCUCCUGCUUCAUCAUCAUCAUCAUCGUCAUCAUCGUCAUCGUCAUCAUCGUCAUCGUCAUCCUCCGAUGAAAUCAGCUACAAAUGUUUUUAAUUAUUGGAAGCAUCAGUAUUACUACCGUUUAUGGAGGAACUGCUAUGAAGCCUGUUCUCUGCUAAAAUGUUGGCUAACAUUUUAUGUUUACAACUCUUUAAGGUAAAUUCUCGGGUCAUCGAAUGUAGAAAUGCAAAGGUCAUAGAAAUCGUCCCCCUUACGGGGGAGGCGGAGUCUUAUUCCUGUUUGCUUGCUGAGCAAUGGAAGGAUGGAAGCAAGUUCCCCUCACCUGGUAGGUCCACAAAUGUCCACAACCAUGCCUGCCAUGGCACGUAGAUUUUGAACUGUUAGGCAUGAAACGAAAGCAGUGUUUUUCCAACCACUUCAGCUCUCAGUGAAGAAGGGAGCUUUCUCUGAAAUCUGCGGCAUAUGUCGUCUUGGAUUUAUCAAACACUGCUUUGAAAAGUGGGCUUUCUUUUUAUGCCUAGGCACUAGUUCCCGCGACUGAUUUUAGUGCUGCCAUUAAUAAGCAAUUGCCCUGUGGAAAAUGCAUUCCACAGAUAAUUCUCAAGUAAUGAUAAACUCAGGGGGCACAAACAUUAUAUUAACUAUUGUUUUGUCACUGUAGCAUUUCAGGGUUCACAUCUUAAUCACUCUAUCUUCAAAGUGUGAUUACUUUUUUUAAUAUAGGAAAUUGUUUGACCUGGUAACAAACAUAUGAAUCUGGAAUCUUUCUUACAGAUAAUCCCACACCUUGUGUUUCUUACUGUCAUUUAAACAGGUUGAUGUGUUUUUACUCAGUUGAUGAGUCAGAAAAAUAUUUAAAAAUUUUGUAACAAUAAAAAUGGUAAGCAUUUCACACAUUGUGUUAAUAAAAUAGAGAUCACCUGUCAGAAUUUAUGCCUUAAAUAGGUUUAUAAACAUUACAGGGAAUUAGGGGAAAUAAUUUUGUUUCAAUGAACAAAAUAUAUUCAUAUAUUCAUGGAAAUGUAUGGUAACAUUGCCGCUAAGGAUCACGUCAGUUGAGACUAGAGUGGAUACUUAUUUUUUGUUUUCCAUGGAAAGUUCCUAUACAAUAUUUGAUAGAUUAAUCUCAAAGGAAGGGCAUCUCAGUGCCUCCCAAACCAUUAUAUUUCUUUUUUGAAUUAUAUGAUAUGAUUAUAUGAAUUACACGAUCUGGAAAUUUCUUCGCUUCAUUUACCCCAAACAUGAAUCAUCUGUUCCUAUUUCUUUCUGCCAUUUCUGUAUUCAUGAUGGUUAAAGAGUAAAUGUACCCAAUCUCUCAUUUGCAGGCCUGUCCUUUAUAAACAUAAAAAUGACUAUUAUGUGUUUCCAUAGAACUCCCCCUUGUAAAUAAUGCUACCGACAUUUGUUGACAUUUCUCUUUGUAAGCCUUUUAUAAGGGGAAGAGAUUAAUAUACACAGAUAUGCAUGUUGUCUUCAUUUCAUCUGAAUGGCACUAUCCUCUCCAUCCAAACAGGAACUUAAAGGGCUUUAUUUCUGUUCUGUUUAGCCGAUCCCAAAUGUCUAUUAUCAGGGUCUGAAUUUUUCGUCAUUUCUUACAAUCUCACUGGUUACAGUAUACCUAAGUAGGCAUUGUUAUUCUAUCAUGUGAUAAAGAUGAAAUACAGAUACUUAUUCUCGUUUCAAAUACAAUUUUAAAACCAAUGGGAAAUUUAGAUUUGAUAUUUAGAGUGCUCUUUUGAUGGUAGAGAGUGCCGAAUCCAAAAAGAUCAAGUAUAAAUUGGGCAAGUUUGCACGGUGUCCCAACGGACAGGAACUAUUCCUCAGGAAUACCGUUGCCCGUCCAGUGCUGUUUUCCUAACUGCCUCCUUUACAGAUUAAAAAACACUUGUAGUACAUUGAAGAAGCUGUGAUGAAUAUGGGGCGCCUGGGUGGCUCAGUCAGCUGAGUGACUGACUUCAGCUCAGGUCAGGAUCUUAUGGUUUGUGGUUUCAAGCCCCG